GACGAACGCUGGCGGCGUGCUUAACACAUGCAAGUCGAACGGAGUGGCGAACGGGUGAGUAACACGUGGGUGAUCUGCCUUGCACUUCGGGAUAAGCUUGGGAAACUGGGGCUAAUACCGGAUAGUGCAAGAUGAGCUCGCGGCCUAUCAGCUUGUUGGUGGGGUAAUGGCCUACCAAGGCGUCGACGGGUAGCCGGCCUGAGAGGGUGUACGGCCACAUUUGGACUGAGAUACGGCCCAGACUCCUACGGGGGGCAGCAGAGGGGAACAUUGCACAAUGGGCGGGCGCCUGAUGCAGCGUCGCCGCGUGGGGGAUGAAGGCCUUCGGGUUGCAAACUCGUUUCUCCGGGGACGCGGUACCUGUAUACGAGGCACCGGCUAACUACGUGCCAGCCGCCGCGGUAAUUC
rnacentral:rRNA from 1 species